GACGAACGCUGGCGGCGUGCUUAACACAUGCAAGUCGAACGGAAAGGCCCUGCUUUUGUGGUGUGCUCGAGUGGCGAACGGGUGAGUAACACGUGAGUAACCUGCCCUUGACUUUGGGAUAACUUCAGGAAACUGGGGCUAAUACCCGAUAGGAGCUCCUGCUGCAUGGUGGGGGUUGGAAAGUUUCGGCGGUUGGGGAUGGACUCGCGGCUUAUCAGCUUGUUGGUGGGGUAGUGGCUUACCAAGGCUUUGACGGGUAGCCGGCCUGAGAGGGUGACCGGCCACAUUGGGACUGAGAUACGGCCCAGACUCCUACGGGAGGCAGAAGUGGGGAAUAUUGCACAAUGGGCGGGAGCCUGAUGCAGCAACGCAGGGUGCGGGAUGACGGCCUUCGGGUUGUAAACCGCUUUCGCCUGUGACGAAGCGUGAGUGACGGUAAUGGGUAAAGAAGCACCGGCUAACUACGUG
rnacentral:rRNA from 1 species